ACCGGCAGCUCAAGUGGUGGCCAUUUUUAUUGGGCCUAAAGCGUUCGUAGCCGGUUUGAUAAGUCUCUGGUGAAAUCCCGCAGCUUAACUGUGGGACUUGCUGGAGAGACUAUUAGACUUGAGGUCGGGAGAGGUUAGGGGUACUCCCAGGGUAGGGGUGAAAUCCUAUAAUCUGGGGAGGAAUACCUGUGGCGAAGGCGGCUAACUGGAACGAACCUGACGGUGAGUAACGAAAGCCAGGGGUGCGAACAG
rnacentral:rRNA from 1 species